rnacentral:rRNA from 1 species
AUUGAACGCUGGCGGCAUGCCUUACACAUGCAAGUCGAACGGCAGCACGGGUGCUUGCACCUGGUGGCGAGUGGCGAACGGGUGAGUAAUACAUCGGAACAUGUCCUGUAGUGGGGGAUAGCCCGGCGAAAGCCGGAUUAAUACCGCAUACGAUCCACGGAUGAAAGCGGGGGACCUUCGGGCCUCGCGCUAUAGGGUUGGCCGAUGGCUGAUUAGCUAGUUGGUGGGGUAAAGGCCUACCAAGGCGACGAUCAGUAGCUGGUCUGAGAGGACGACCAGCCACACUGGGACUGAGACACGGCCCAGACUCCUACGGGAGGCGGCAGUGGGGAAUUUUGGACAAUGGGCGAAAGCCUGAUCCAGCAAUGCCGCGUGUGUGAAGAAGGCCUUCGGGUUGUAAAGCACUUUUGUCCGGAAAGAAAUCCUUGACUCUAAUACAGUCGGGGGAUGACGGUACCGGAAGAAUAAGCACCGGCUAACUACGUG